rnacentral:lncRNA from 1 species
AUGCACAUGGUUGUCAUCAGAGAUACCAAACUACUGCUUCAUGAAGGACUAAGUGUGGCUGGUUUAAGGAAUGCUGUUGUUCCUGCUUCAGCUGGAAGGUGUGCACUUAACAUCUGUGUUGGUUUGUGCUUAGAUGUCAUCUGCAGCUCAUCCCGAAUCUAACAGAUUUUGGAAAAGAUCUUCACAGCAUUUUUUUUAAAUUCCUCUGGAGAACGAUGAAGAUCAAGACGAUCAGUCUUUUUUGACUGUAAUUAUUUGUUUUGUUCAUUUUACAAAAAUGAGACCUUAAAAUUGCCUUUAUUUUAUGAAUGGCAUAAUGCAACUCUGACAACAGUUAAAUAAAAAGUUUUAUUUGAUAUUUUAGCUCAUCCCGAAUCUAACAGAUUUUGGAAAAGAUCUUCACAGCAUUUUUUUAAAUUCCUCUGGAGAACGAUGAAGAUCAAGACGAUCAGUCUUUUUUGUACUGUAA